rnacentral:rRNA from 1 species
AUUGAACGCUGGCGGCAUGCCUUACACAUGCAAGUCGAACGGUAACAGGUCUUCGGAUGCUGACGAGUGGCGAACGGGUGAGUAAUACAUCGGAACGUGCCCGAUCGUGGGGGAUAACGGAGCGAAAGCUUUGCUAAUACCGCAUACGAUCUACGGAUGAAAGCAGGGGACCGCAAGGCCUUGUUCGCGGACGGAGCGGCCGAUGGCAGAUUAGGUAGUUGGUGGGAUAAAAGCUUACCAAGCCGACGAUCUGUAGCUGGUCUGAGAGGACGACCAGCCACACUGGGACUGAGACACGGCCCAGACUCCUACGGGAGGCAGCAGUGGGGAAUUUUGGACAAUGGGCGAAAGCCUGAUCCAGCCAUGCCGCGUGCAGGAUGAAGGCCUUCGGGUUGUAAACUGCUUUUGUACGGAACGAAAAGACUCCUUCUAAUAAAGGGAGUUCAUGACGGUACCGUAAGAAUAAGCACCGGCUAACUACGUG